AACAGAGGUGUCAAGCGUUGUUCGGAAUUACUGGGCGUAAAGGGCGUGUAGGUGUUUAAAUAAGUCUCUAUUGAAAUUUUACAGCUUAACUGUAAAACUGGUAGAGAUACUAUUUAAAUUGAGUGCAGGAGAGGAAGGCGGAAUUCCCAAUGUAGCGGUGAAAUGCGUAGAUAUUGGGAGGAACACCUGUGGCGAAAGCGGCUUUCUGGUCUGCGACUGACACUGAGUGCGCGAAAGCCAGGGGAGCAAACGGG
rnacentral:rRNA from 1 species